UACGUAGGGUGCAAGCGUUAUCCAGAUUUACUGGGCGUAAAGCGCACGCAGGCGGAUGACUAAGUCAGCUGUGAAAGCCCCCGGCUCAACUGGGGAGAGUCGGCUGAAACUGGUUGUCUUGAGGGCAGCAGAGGAGUGUGGAAUUGCGGGUGUAGUGGUGAAAUGCGUAGAUAUCCGCAGGAACACCGGUGGCGAAGGCGGCACUCUGGGCUGUACCUGACGCUGAUGUGCGAAGGCUGGGGGAGCGAACAGG
rnacentral:rRNA from 1 species